rnacentral:rRNA from 1 species
UACGAAGGGGGCUAGCGUUGUUCGGAUUCACUGGGCGUAAAGGGUGCGUAGGCGGUUGGGUAAGUCUGUCGUGAAAUCUCCGAGCCUAACUCGGAAACUGCGUCGGAUACUAUUCAACUCGAGGAAUGGAGGGGAGACUGGAAUUCUCGGUGUAGCAGUGAAAUGCGUAGAUAUCGUAAGGAAGACCAGUGGCGAAGGCGGGUCUCUGGACAGUUCCUGACGCUGAGGCACGAAGGUCAGGGGAGCAAACGGG